rnacentral:rRNA from 1 species
UACAGAGGGUGCGAGCGUUGUUCGGAAUUAUUGGGCGUAAAGGGCGCGUAGGCGGUGCGGUAAGUCACCUGUGAAAUCUCCUGGCUCAACUGGGAGCUUGCAGGCGAAACUGCCGUGCUGGAGUGUGGGAGAGGUGCGUGGAAUUCCUGGUGUAGCGGUGAAAUGCGUAGAUAUCAGGAGGAAUACCGAUGGCGAAGGCAGGUCUCUGGGCUGACACUGACGCUCAUGCACGAAAGCGUGGGGAGCAAAAGGG